rnacentral:tRNA from 1 species
AAUCUUAUAUUCAACUAUGAUUUUAAAUUGCAAAUUUAAAGGUAAAAAUAUUUUUUAAGAUUU